rnacentral:lncRNA from 1 species
CAAUUACUAUGCUCCAGAGUUAUUAAUGAUGUGCAGAUUGAGGAUGCCCAUAGAUGUCUCCAAAUGUUUUGUAGAUCCUUUGAAAACCGAUAUGGUAAACAGUGGUGCACGAUGAAUAUGCAUUUACAUCUACAUUUGAAGUCCUGUGUUAAAGACUUUGGACCUGUUCAUGGCUUCUGGUGCUUCUCAUUUGAACGUGCCAAUGGUACAUUGGGAGAUUACCACACUAAUAACCAAGACACUGAAGUGAUUAUGAUGCGAAAAUGGUUAGCUGAAUGGCAGGUGGCAGGCAAACAGUUAAUGUGCCCAGGUAUUUUGGAUAUAUUUGAUACAGAAGUCGAAACAUUAUUCCGUAAGACCCCCACUGCCACAGCUAUCCAGGCAGAGAAGUUACAUAUCCUACAUGAUCUCUCUCAUGAUCAUAUUUUCCACGGAAACUUUGAGCUUGAUGAUAGUCUAGAAACUUUUCUUCCACCUGUUAAACAAAGCACAAUGUCAAUUUCAGACAAUUUGGAUCUGCUCUCAAUGUUUAAGGUGAUGUAUCAGACUGAGAGAAUUGAGAGAGUGUCUCUAAACUACAUGUACAGCAACAGAUAUAGUUUAGCUGGUGAUGUAUUUUCAACAUGUCGCUAUAGGUCAGGAUCAUCAUCAUUUGUGACUGCAAAAUGGUUGAGUGUUGAUAGAGUCACAGGAGAUCCCAUGAUCGACCCUAAUGCACCAUUGCGCCCGGGGGAGAUAUCAAAUAUAUGGAAAGUGUUUGUGUUUUUGUGGAUGGAUGAAUGUUUGACAAAGGUUGAAAAUGCAGUAGCAAAAGUGAAAUGGUUCAAAGAGCAUGGGGAUGUGUGGCAUUUUGGGCAAAAAAGCAACUGCACAGUCUGGGAAACUAAUGAAGUACCAUGGUCAUAUGCAUCUUUCCUUCCACUGAAAAGAAUUGCCAGCCAGUGUGCAUGCUGUACUUUCAAAGUCGCCUUUUCUACUGCAAGGCAAGAAACUGUUCAUGUGUUUGUAACACUGCCUUUAGCAAGAUGUAUUUAACCGACAUGUCAUUGUUGUUCAGCAGAAGGGCCCCC